rnacentral:snoRNA from 1 species
AAGAUCAUACUUCACAGGAUCAUUUCUGUAGUAUAUCUUGACUUGUUUCCCACCAGAAACAUUUCUCCAAUCAACCCGCGAUGACGAGUAAUGACGCUGGCUUCUGAGAGUGAAACAGGUUGCGAUCGUAGCCACUUGCGUGGUAUCUGGUCGUCGCCAUUGAGGACCGUUUUCGGUGUUCCUUUGUGGCACACUGGAAGGAAACCGGCGUUUUCAGAGCGGU